rnacentral:rRNA from 1 species
GGGGAAUCUUGCACAAUGGGCGAAAGCCUGAUGCAGCGACGCCGCGUGCGGGAUGAAGGCCUUCGGGUUGUAAACCGCUUUCAGCAGGGACGAGGCCGCAAGGUGACGGUACCUGCAGAAGAAGCCCCGGCUAACUACGUGCCAGCAGCCGCGGUAAUACGUAGGGGGCAAGCGUUAUCCGGAUUCAUUGGGCGUAAAGAGCUCGUAGGCGGCCCGUUAGGUCAGGAGUCAAAUUCGGGGGCUCAACCCCCGCGCGCUUCUGAUACCGGCGGGCUUGAGUUUGGUAGGGGAAGGUGGAAUUCCCAGUGUAGCGGUGGAAUGCGCAGAUAUUGGGAAGAACACCGGUGGCGAGGGCGGCCUUCUGGGCCAUAACUGACGCUGAGGAGCGAAAGCUAGGGGAGCGAAC